rnacentral:lncRNA from 1 species
AAGCAGGGUAUAGAGUGGAACAAGUGCUCUAAACAAGCAGCUAAUAUGAGAGGGGCCACCAUGAAGAGCAACAAGAUUAUGAGGCAGACAUUGAGCAAGAAUAGCAACAGAUUUGAAGAGUCAAGAUUAGAGCCAAAAAUUGUGAUAGUGUGUAGAAGAGAGUCGUACUGAUAACGUGUUGAGAAUGUUUAGAAAGUCACAAGAGUAAUAGAAAAGA